rfam:Lupinus angustifolius cultivar Tanjil chromosome LG06, whole genome shotgun sequence.
CAAAGCCGUGUGCAAUGAAAAAUGCAAGUACGGUUAGGGAGAGAUUUUUUCUUGUUUUACUGUUGAAUCUGAUUAACAGAUAAAUUUUCUACUCCAU